rnacentral:rRNA from 1 species
UAGGGAAUCUUCGGCAAUGGACGAAAGUCUGACCGAGCAACGCCGCGUGAGUGAAGAAGGUUUUCGGAUCGUAAAACUCUGUUGUUAGAGAAGAACAAGGACGUUAGUAACUGAACGUCCCCUGACGGUAUCUAACCAGAAAGCCACGGCUAACUACGUGCCACCAGCCGCGGUAAUACGUAGGUGGCAAGCGUUGUCCGGUUUUAUUUGGCGUAAAGCGAGCGCAGGCGGUUUCUUAAGUCAGAUGUGAAAGCCCCCGGCUGAACCGGAGAGGGUCAUUGGAAACUGGGAGGCUUGUGUGCAGAAGAGGAGAGUGGAAUUCCAUGUGUAGCGGUGAGAUGCGUAGAUAUAUGGAGGAACACCAGUGGCGAAGGCGGCUCUCUGUUCUGUAACUGACACUGAGGCUAGAAAGCGUGGGGAGCAAACAGG